UCGGCGUUGGCCAGGGCGUAGCCGGCGAUCUGGUUUCCGAGGUCGAUGCCCGCAUCGGAGUGAUAGUUCGGGAUCAUCACGUCGAUC
rnacentral:tRNA from 1 species